rnacentral:rRNA from 1 species
GAGUUUGAUCACGGUUCAGAACGUACGCUGGCGGCACGCCUAACACAUGCAAGUCGAACGAAGUAGCAAUACUUAGUGGCAGACGGGUGAGUAACAUGUGGGUAUCUACCCUUUGGCCUGGAAUAACACGAGGAAACUUGUGCUAAUACCGGAUAAGUCUUUACGGAGAAAGCUUUAUGCACCAUUGGAUGAGCCCGCACUUGAUUAGUUUGUUGGUAGGGUAAUGGCCUACCAAGACUAUGAUCAAUAGCUGAUUUGAGAGGAUGAUCAGCCACAUUGGGACUGAGACACGGCCCAAACUCCUACGGGAGGCAGCAGUGGGGAAUCUUGCACAAUGGAGGAAACUCUGAUGCAGCGAUGCCGCGUGAGUGAAGAAGGCCUUUGGGUUGUAAAGCUCUUUCGUCGGGGAAGAAAAUGACUGUACCCGAAUAAGAAGGUCCGGCUAACUUCGUGCCAGCAGCCGCGGUAAUACGAAGGGACCUAGCGUAGUUCGGAAUUACUGGGCUUAAAGAGUUCGUAGGUGGUUGAAAAAGUUGGUGGUGAAAUCCCAGAGCUUAACUCUGGAACUGCCAUCAAAACUUUUCAGCUAGAGUAUGAUAGAGGAAAGCAGAAUUUCUAGUGUAGAGGUGAAAUUCGUAGAUAUUAGAAAGAAUACCAAUUGCGAAGGCAGCUUUCUGGAUCAUUACUGACACUGAGGAACGAAAGCAUGGGUAGCGAAGAGGAUUAGAUACCCUCGUAGUCCAUGCCGUAAACGAUGUGUGUUAGACGUUGGAAAUUUAUUUUCAGUGUCGCAGGGAAACCGAUAAACACACCGCCUGGGGAGUACGACCGCAAGGUUAAAACUCAAAUGAAUUGACGGGGGCCCGCACAAGCGGUGGAGCAUGUGGUUUAAUUCGAAGCAACGCGCAGAACCUUACCAACCCUUGACAUCCUGUGACAGCUCGAGAGAUCGAGUGUUCCUUCGGGACACAGUGACAGGUGCUGCAUGGCUGUCGUCAGCUCGUGUCGUGAGAUGUUCGGUUAAGUCCGGCAACGAGCGCAACCCACAUCUUUAGUUGCCAGCAGUUCGGCUGGGCACUCUAGAGAAACUGCCCGUGAUAAGCGGGAGGAAGGUGUGGAUGACGUCAAGUCCUCAUGGCCCUUACGGGUUGGGCUACACACGUGCUACAAUGGCAAGUACAGUGGGUUAAUCCCCAAAACUUGUCUCAGUUCGGAUUGGGGUCUGCAACUCGACCCCAUGAAGUCGGAAUCGCUAGUAAUCGCGGAACAGCAUGCCGCGGUGAAUACGUUCCCGGGCCUUGUACACACCGCCCGUCACACCAUGGGAGUUGGUUCUACCCGACGGCCGUGCGCUAACCUUUCGAGGGGGCAGCGGACCACGGUAGGAUCAGCGACUGGGGUGAAGUCGUAACAAGGUAACC